AUUGCGACUAGAAUUCGAUCGAUUGGUACGAGGGACCACGUGGCCAGGGGCUGGCCAAUGACCAGGCCGCCCGGGAUGAGCUAAUAAUGGAAGCAAUUUGUAACUUUCAGUAGCUCUCUAGGCCUGGGUACCGGAGGGAGGGAGGCGGGCAGAGGAGGGGAGAUGGGCACCCCCAGUCUUUCCAUCCUCCUCAUUCGUCUAGGGGCACCCGAAUCCCCUAUUCCUUAUUUCCCCUAUCACUCAGGCACUGGCAGGGUCCUUGGCCCACUCCUGUUGGCCGCCGCGGCUCCAAAGCGAGCUGGGCAGAUGUGCCUGAGACAGGUUUGACCAGGCAACUGAAAAGACAUCCCUAAGGGAAGACAAAGCAAAGGUAUGAAAGGAACACACGUCCCUGACUGACUAGGAGGAACAGAGCUGCCUGCUGUCUGGAACCGCUUCCUCCCAGACUAAGUGAGGCCCGGAGACAAGAUAUGACUUGCUUAAGGUCACACACUUAGUUUCUCUGUCAAU
rnacentral:lncRNA from 1 species